CACUUGGUAAGUUAGUUUAUCAAAUAUCCCAGAUAGUCUAACAGGCUUUCCACCUCUAAGAUCAUCUGACCAGCAAGCUGAUGGGUUCUCAAAAUUUGUCAAGACAUCUGUAACUUCAGGUCUAAAAGAAAGAAGGAAGUUACCAACACUCAAAGAAUUCAGUGUCUUCUUCCGUCCCCCAGAGAGAUUUAUGGCACUAAAG
rnacentral:misc_RNA from 1 species